rnacentral:lncRNA from 1 species
GCUAGUGCUCAAAACUCAUCCAUGGCGGAGGAAUCGAUGUGGAGAGCAGUCGACUCUCCAUUUCCCUCUUUGUUUCCUACUUCAAUAGAGCUACUUCAAUAGAUUGUUCUACUUCAAUAGAGCUAUGUAUUCGAGAUAUUAAAGUUCAAAGAAGUAAGUUUACCUCAUCAACUCAUCUCCCUUAGUUUUCAAAGUCGGAACUUGAAGCUGUCCAGAUCUGACUGAUUUAGCUCAGGACAAGUUGAAGGUUAUAGUUUCUUUGGAGAAGAGCUGGUAGAAAUUGAAGAAAUGCAAUAUUGAGGAGCCGAUUCUCCGGCGGCUGGUGCUCAGAACUCAUCCAUGGCGGAGGAAUCGAUGUGGAGAGAAGCCGACUCUUCAUUUCC